GGGUCCGUAGCUCAGUUGGUUAGAGUACUACCUUGACAUGGUAGGGGUCGGCGAUUCGAGUUCGCUCGGACCCACCA
rnacentral:tRNA from 1 species